rnacentral:rRNA from 1 species
AGGACGAACGCUGGCGGCGUGCCUAACACAUGCAAGUCGAGCGAUGAAGUUCUUCGGAACGGAUUAGCGGCGGACGGGUGAGUAACACGUGGGUAACCUGCCUUGUAGAGGGGGAUAGCCUUCCGAAAGGAAGAUUAAUACCGCAUAACAUCUUUUUAUCGCAUGGUAGGAAGAUCAAAGGAGCAAUCCGCUACAAGAUGGACCCGCGGCGCAUUAGCUAGUUGGUGAGGUAACGGCUCACCAAGGCGACGAUGCGUAGCCGACCUGAGAGGGUGAUCGGCCACAUUGGAACUGAGACACGGUCCAGACUCCUACGGGAGGCAGCAGUGGGGAAUAUUGCGCAAUGGGGGGAAACCCUGACGCAGCAACGCCGCGUGAAUGAAGAAGGCCUUAGGGUUGUAAAGUUCUGUUUACGGGGACGAUAAUGACGGUACCCGUGGAGGAAGCCACGGCUAACUACGUGCCAGCCGCCGC